rnacentral:rRNA from 1 species
UUUUUUAUGGGUAAAAAGCAUGAGAAAUAAGGGUGGGUAAGACCGGUGCCAGCCGCCGCGGUAAUACCGGCAGCUCUAGUGGUAGCCACUUUUAUUGGGCCUAAAGCGUCUGUAGCCGGUCAGGUAAAUCCUUGGGUAAAUCGUACAGUUUAACUGUGCGGCUUCCGGGGAGACUGCUUGACUUGGGACCGGGAGAGGUUUGAGGUACUCCUGGGGUAGGGGUGAAAUCCUGUAAUCCUAGGUGGACCACCGGUGGCGAAGGCGUCCAACCGGAACGGCUCUGACGGUGAGGGACGAAGGCUAGGGGCGCAAACCGGAUUAGAUACCCGGGUAGUCCUAGCUGUAAACGCUGCAGACUUGGUGUUGGAGAUCCCACGAGGGUGUCCAGUGCCGGAGAGAAGUUGUUAAGUUUGCCGCCUGGGAAGUAUGGCCGCAAGGCUGAAACUUAAAGGAAUUGGCGGGGGAGCACCGCAACGGGAGGAGCGUGCGGUUUAAUUGGAUUCAACGCCGGAAAACUCACCGGGAGCGACGGUUAUAUGAAGGCCAGUUUAAAGACAUUGCCUGAUUUUCCGAGAGGUGGUGCAUGGCCGUCGUCAGUUCGUACCGCAAGGCGUUCUGUUAAGUCAGAUAACGAACGAGACCCCUGUCCUUAUUUGCUAAGUUAUCCUUUGGGAUGACAGCACUAUAGGGAGACCGCCACUGCUAAAGUGGAGGAAGGAGGGGGCAACGGUAGGUCAGUAUGCCCCGAAUCUCCCGGGCCACACGCGCGCUACAAAGGAUAGGACAAUGGGCUCCGACACCGAAAGGUGAAGGCAAUCUCGAAACCUAUUCAUAGUUCGGAUUGAGGGCUGUAACCCGCCCUCAUGAAGCUGGAUUCCGUAGUAAUCGCGGGUCAACAUCCCGCGGUGAAUAUGCCCCUGCUCCUUGCACACACCGCCCGUCAAACCAUCCGAGUUGGGUCUAAGUGAGGGCUUCUCUCUUUGGGGAGUCA